UAGGGAAUCUUAGGCAAUGGACGAAAGUCUGACCGAGCAACGCCGCGUGAGGGAAGAAGGUUUUCGGAUCGUAAAAUUCUGUUGUUAGAGAAGAACAAGGACGGUAGUAACUGAACGUCGCCUGACGGAAUCUAACCAGAAAGCCACGGCUAACCACGUGCCAGCAGCCGCGGUAAUACGUAGGUGGCAAGCGUUGUCCGGAUUUAUUGGGCGUAAAGCGAGCGCAGGCGGUUUCUUAAGUCUGAUGUGAAAGCCCCCGGCCCAACCGGGGAGCGUCAUUGGAAACUGGGAGGCUUGAGUGCAGAAGAGGAGAGUGGAAUUCCAUGUGUAGCGGUGAAAUGCGUAGAUAUAUGGAGGAACACCAGUGGCGAAGGCGGCUCUCUGGGCUGUUACUGACGCUGAGGCUCGAAAGCGUGGGGAGCAAACAGG
rnacentral:rRNA from 1 species